AGUAACGGCGAGUGAAGCGGCAACAGCUCAAAUUUGAAAUCUGGCUCUCGGGCCCGAGUUGUAAUUUGUAGAGGAUACUUUUGAUGCGGUGCCUUCCGAGUUCCCUGGAACGGGACGCCAUAGAGGGUGAGAGCCCCGUCUGGUUGGAUGCCAAAUCUCUGUAAAGUUCCUUCAACGAGUCGAGG
rnacentral:rRNA from 1 species